GAUGAACGCUGGCGGCGUGCUUAAUACAUGCAAGUCGAACGAAGCACUUCUCCCGUUGAUUGAAUUAGCUUGCUAAUGAUUGAAACAAUUGAAGUGACUGAGUGGCGGACGGGUGAGUAACGCGUGGGUAACCUGCCUUGUACAGGGGGAUAACAGUUGGAAACGACUGCUAAUACCGCAUAAGCGCACAGUACCGCAUGGUACGGUGUGAAAAACUCCGGUGGUACAAGAUGGACCCGCGUCUGAUUAGCUAGUUGGUGAGGUAACGGCCCACCAAGGCAACGAUCAGUAGCCGACUUGAGAGAGUGAUCGGCCACAUUGGGACUGAGACACGGCCCAAACUCCUACGGGAGGCAGCAGUAGGGAAUAUUGCACAAUGGGGGAAACCCUGAUGCAGCGACGCCGCGUGAAGGAUGAAGUAUUUCGGUAUGUAAACUUCUAUCAGCAAGGAAGA
rnacentral:rRNA from 1 species